UGGGAGCUGCUCACCAGGCCUGAAAGAUACCACGAGGGGGUGGCCCUGCUGGCCAGGGCCAUGAUCAUCAAGAACUGCUGGCACAUCUGCCCCGUCUUCAGCCUCACCGUCAGGAUCCUCCAGGAAAUGGACCAAGAGAAUCACUUGACGGCCCUCGUGUUCAUCACCGAGCUGCUGCAGUCCCCCGUCGUGGCGGCCAUCGUGGACGAGG